UAAGCAGGCUAGGUAGUCGCGGGCGGUUAAGGCCGCCUGAGGAAAGUCCGGGCUCCACAGGGCAGGGCGCUGGGUAACUCCCAGCAAGGGUAACCUUAGGGAAAGUGCCACAGAAACAUACCGCCUUUAGUGCAGGCUCUUGUGCUACCGGAGGCAUGCCCAGCCUCUGGUAUUCCAAACAAGGGCCGGCGCAAAGGGUAAGGGUGAAAAGGUAGUGUAAGAGACUACCGGCAGCCGGGUGACCGGUUGGCCAGGCAAACCCCGUCCGGAGCAAGGCCAAAUAGAGGGGCGAUGACGUUGCCCGCAGAGCCCCUGGGUAUGGCCGCUUGAGGGAAAAGGUAACUUUUCUCCUAGAUAGAUGACUACCCUCGACAGAACCCGGCUUACAGGCCUGCUUACCAC
rnacentral:RNase_P_RNA from 1 species